rnacentral:sRNA from 1 species
UUAUUUAGUCCUUAUUUGCUACCGGAACAGGACAGAGGGAGGAGUGACAGACAGGACAGGGAUUGUUAAGUCCUGAUUUACAUGUGGAAAAACUGAGAUUACAUGUACCUGCCUUUAAUUUCAGCACUUGGUAGGUAGAAAUAGGUUCAAGAGUUGAAAGGCAGCUUGAGCAACAGGGAACCCCAAGAGAGGGGAGGGAAAGAAGGGGCAAUUACUAUUGCUUCUUCCAGACUGCCAGCUGACUUUGAAUACUUAACAUAUGCCAAGCACUGUGCUGCUUUUUAAUCUUCACAAUAAACCCAAAAGGUGGGCAUUAUCCUCCUUUUAUAGUUAAAGAAACAGACUAGGAGGUUCUAAGUAACUUCCCGAGGUAAUUAAGCAAUAGUCAACAGCAGAGCCAGGAGUUUUAACAGGAGUUAACUUACAGGCACCAACUAGCCUUGACUGAUCACUACCUGCACCAGAGGGACUGAAUUCCAGGAUUCUAAUGUCUGCAGGGAAACCUGGCUUCCAGUCCUGUGUCUCAACGAUGUGAUUUCAAGCUGGUGAGAUGGAGCAGCAGGUAAAGCCAUCUGCUGCUACACUGGAAAGCUCCUGAAUUCAAUCCUGGAAUUCACAUGAUAGAAGAGAAACACUGACUCCCACAAGUCCUUUGAACACACCAUGAAUGCCAUGGUAUAUGACUGACCCUUUCCCCCAAAUUAAAUAAACGUAAAAAAAA